UCCGACAGGGGCAGAAUGCAAAAAUGCUUGUGCAACAUGCUUUUAGUGCACUUCAGCACCUUCCGUGCUAUGCUACUAGCCCAAAUUUUGAACAGAAGGCCAAAUUACUUUUAAGAACCUCAGUUGCCAAAAUUGUUUUCGCUUCCCCAGAAAGAAUAAAUUCACUCCUGCCUGCACUGUCCUAUGGUUUGUGUGCUGGCAUCUAUCAAAAGCACUAUUAAGCAAUCAGACAGAACUAGGCUCGUGCAUGAUAUUGCUAGAAAAUGCAAGGUACUGCUGACUACGCGAGCUCGUCCUUGGUUGUUUUUACCAGAAAUGCGUGGACGAACCCAGCUCAUCCAAGGCACGGAAGGGGCUAAAGAAGCACAGUUGGUCAAAAUUCAUCCGGAGUCCCCCUACUACGGCAUCCCUCAUAACCCAGUGUGCUGUUUCGGGGCGUUAAGCCCCAUCAUGUAAUUUCCAAUCUUCCAUUUGUAGCAGGGAGCCUCAGUUUUUUUUGCUUUUUUUCAAAAGUCAGCCUGCUUUUUCUUUCCCUUCAGCUCAGUAUUCCUGUCGCUUUUCACACAUAUCCCUAAACAUUUAUAGACAUGACAGCCAUCUUUAGGCAGGAUGGACGACGCAGUGCCUUGAGCAGAUGCAAAAAUUUACCUCGUCACUGACAUGGCUGUAGUGCCACCUUGUGGUGGAGAGUGACAUCACUGUGCGGGCACUAACUCGUUACGCUAAUUGCCACCAUUGCCUCCGAGACAAGGCAGCAUGACAGAGUGUCGCACCAUUUGAUCUUAAAGCCAUACUAAUAGAAUAUAUGCAACACGAUCGGUAGAGUAUAGGGACGAAUUGUUUUUCAUGAGCAUACCAGCAAGAAGUCUGAGCACACUUCUGAACAAGAAAAAGCAUGCGAAGACCAUAAGGGCGUGGCAGCAGCUGCUUAUCAUUCAAAGGUGCAUUCAAAGACCUUUUAUUUAAAAAUAUACAGAUGCUGAUGCAUUCCAUACCUUUCAUAAAAGUUGUUACAAAGCUCAUAUAAAUGUUUGGGCCCCUGUGACCCCUGAAGCACUGCUUCUUCUACUGAUGUGUUGCAAUUUUCACCAGUUAAGACAUUCGAAACGAUAAAACAUUGUCACGCAAGCAGUUUAUAAUUUUGUACCUUCUUUUUUAGGCUGUAGAGAAAAAGUGCAUAGUAUUUACACACGUUCACGUGGCGGGAAACAUUUUAUUCUUUUUUUUUUUCAUCUUUCACAUGAAUACUUGUUUCCCUGCAAAUGCAACACUAACACUCUCUUUUCAAUGUCUCGUUGUUUUAGAAAGCAGCCAACAAGACCAUCUCGUGAUGAUUCUUAAUUCUUUACUGCAAUAAAUCAAUUGCGUCUUGAAUGUGAUGCAUGAAGUGAGAAGCGAGUGCUUGCCAUAACGAAGUUUACAUUCACUGCCUCAUGACUUUGUUUUUUAGGUUAGAAAUGCUGUGAUCUGAAAUUGUGAUGUUUUCUUGUAGCCUAAUUUUAUACACCUGUUCUUCACAAAGGCAGUUUCAUCAUCCCCUGAAGUCAAUCUGCAUUGAACAUAAUGAGGGUGAUUGAAGUGCAAAGUGCGAGUGAGUGUAAGAAUAAGUGAAGCAUGCUUGAAAAUGGCAUGUAGCAGCACUCAAUCUGCAUUAGCAGCAGCGUGCUUCAAGUCCUCUACAUAGUCAAUGUACAGCAACACACAAAAAGCUUAUGAUGAUGACUACUAGCUUUGCUUCUCACUUUUCUUGCAUAGAUGUCCUGCGUAUGUUGCCAUGUUGCAAUAUCUGUCAACUGCUUAUUGAUCAAGUCCAUGUUGGGUUUUAAAAAAUGGU